rnacentral:rRNA from 1 species
AUUGAACGCUGGCGGCGGGCCUAACACAUGCAAGUCGAGCGGAUGAAGGGAGCUUGCUCCUGGAUUCAGCGGCGGACGGGUGAGUAAUGCCUAGGAAUCUGCCUGGUAGUGGGGGAUAACGUCCGGAAACGGGCGCUAAUACCGCAUACGUCCUGAGGGAGAAAGUGGGGGAUCUUCGGACCUCACGCUAUCAGAUGAGCCUAGGUCGGAUUAGCUAGUUGGUGGGGUAAAGGCCUACCAAGGCGACGAUCCGUAACUGGUCUGAGAGGAUGAUCAGUCACACUGGAACUGAGACACGGUCCAGACUCCUACGGGAGGCAGCAGUGGGGAAAUAUUGGACAAUGGGCGAAAGCCUGAUCCAGCCAUGCCGCGUGUGUGAAGAAGGUCUUCGGAUUGUAAAGCACUUUAAGUUGGGAGGAAGGGCAGUAAGUUAAUACCUUGCUGUUUUGACGUUACCAACAGAAUAAGCACCGGCUAACUUCGUG